rnacentral:lncRNA from 1 species
UUAAAUAAAGGCAACAGUAGUAUACCGCUGUUCAAAACUCAUAAAUCCAUGGACAAAAAAACAAAAUCGGGGUAACAAACUAAAACCGAGGGAAACGCAUUUAAUAUAAGAGGAGAACAACGACACAACACCGAAAAGCAACACACAAAACACCACGAGAAUAACAAAUAUAACAUCAAAACCAAAUACAAGAAUUUGGGAUAGAUAAGUACCGUGCCACGUCUUAUCUAAAAAAUAAGAGAAUACACAAACGACACAACGUUAAAAUGCAACACACACAGAAACGAAC